rnacentral:rRNA from 1 species
ACUGACUGCUAUCGGAUUGGUACUAAGCCAUGUGAGUAUUGUAGCAAUACAAGGCAGACGGCUCAGUAACACGUAGCCAACCUACCCUAUGGACGGGGAUAACCUCGGGAAACUGAGGAUAAACCCCGAUAGAUCAUAAUGCCUGGAACGGUUUAUGGUCCAAAUGAUUCGUCGCCGUAGGAUGGGACUGCGGCCUAUCAGCUUGUUGGUGAGGUAAUGGCCCACCAAGGCUAUUACAGGUACGGGCUCUGAGAGGAAAAGCCCGGAGAUGGGUACUGAGACACGGACCCAGGCCCUAUGGGGCGCAGCAGGCGAGAAACCUUUGCAAUGUGCGCAAGCACGACAAGGUUAAUCCGAGUGUUUCCUGCUAAAGGAAUCUUUUGUUAGUCCUAAAAACACUAGCGAAUAAGGGGUGGGCAAGUUCUGGUGUCAGCCGCCGCGGUAAAACCAGCACCUCAAGUGGUCAGGAGGAUUAUUGGGCCUAAAGCAUCCGUAGCCUGCUCUGUAAGUUUCCGGUUAAAUCCAUUAGCUCAACUGAUGGGCCGCCGGAAAAACUGCAGAGCUAGGGAGUGGGAGAGGUAGACGGUACUCGGUAGGAAGGGGUAAAAUCCUUUUGAUCUAUUGAUGACCACCUGUGGCGAAGGCGGUCUACCAGAACACGUCCGACGGUGAGGGAUGAAAGCUGGGGGAGCAAACCGGAUUAGAUACCCGGGUAGUCCCAGCUGUAAACGAUGCAGACUCGGUGAUGCCCUGGCUUGUGGCCAGUGCAGUGCCGCAGGGAAGCCGUUAAGUUUGCCGCCUGGGAAGUACGUACGCAGGUNUGAAACUUAAAGGAAUUGGCGGGGGGAGCAAAG